GCGUCAGUGGUGUAGCGGUAACAUUGGGCCUUCCCAUAUUAAGUACUAUCUGAAUCGUGCGUGGGUAUAUUUAGCCUAGCUCCGGGUUCGACUCCCAAAAGGUGCA